GGAGGGUGCAAGCGUUAAUCGGAANNACNGGGCGNAAAGCGCACGCAGGCGGUNNGUNAAGNCAGANGNGAAAUCCCCGGGCUCAACCUGGGAACUGCAUUUGAAACUGGCAAGCUAGAGUCUCGUAGAGGGGGGUAGAAUUCCAGGUGNAGCGGUGAAAUGCGUAGAGAUCUGGAGGAAUACCGGUGACGAAGGCGGCCCCCUGGACGAAGACUGACGCUCAGGUGCGAAAGCGUGGGGAGCAAACAGGAUUAGAUACCCUGGUAGUCCACGCUGUAAACGAUGUCGAUUUGGAGGUUGUGCCCUUGAGGCGUGGCUUCCGGAGCUAACGCGUUAAAUCGACCGCCUGGGGAGU
rnacentral:rRNA from 1 species